UAUUUAAUUAAUUCUGUUAAUAGUUAUAUAUUUAUUUUAAAGAUUAAACUAUAUAUAUUUAAAUUUAAGUAAUUAAACUGCAAAACUACAAAUAGCUUAUUAAAUUAAUUAUAGUUUAUUUAAUAGUACCUUAUUAUAUAGAUAACCGUAGUAAUUCUAAAGCUAAUAUAUAUUAAAAACCCCGACUUCGGAAGGGGUAUAUUUAUUAAAUUAAAAAUUAAUACCCUUCGGGGCUAAUUAAUAAUUUAUAAUAAUUUCUUAAAUUGUAUAACUUUAUACUAGCGAUAGUUUAUUUAAAUUUCUACCUUAUUAACUUUUAAUAGUUAGGUUUUAGCUAGCUAUAGUAACAAUAAAUAAUAGAGGGUUAAAAUUCGACCCUGGAGAAGGAAUUUAAAAAACGGUUACUAUAUUUAAAGAAGGUAAUAAAUAUAUAAAUUACCCAAUCCUAAUAUAAGGAGGUAAUAAUAAUAAAUAUUAAUACAAAGCUCUUUUAAAUUUUAUAAUUAGAAUAAAUAUAAUUUAAAUCCCUUAACGAAGAAUAAUUGGAGGGUAAGUCUAAUACUAGCAGCCGCGGUAAUUCUAAUUCUAAUAACGUAUAUUAAAAUUAUUAAAAUUAAAAAGCUUAUAGUUGAACUUUAGGUUCGGCCCGUCGGUCCGCUUUACUAUAUAUAUUAAUUAGGUCGGGCCUUUUUUCCUAGAAAACCGCAUACCCUUUACUAAGUAUAUCGGGGAACUAAAACUUUUACUAUAAAUAAAUUAAAUCGUUUAAAGAAGGCCUAUAUUCGAAUAUACUAAUAUAGAAUAAUAAAAUAGGACGUAUAAUUCUAUUUUAUUAAUUUCUAAGACCGCCGUAAUAAUUAAUAGGGAUAAUCGGGGGUAUUAAUAUUUAAUUAUUAAAAGUAAAAUUCUUAGAUUUAUUAAAGAUUAACUAUUACAAAAGUAUUUACUAAGAAUAUUUUUAUUAAUUAGGAACGAAAGUUAGGGGAUUGAAGACAAUUAAAUAUUAUUGUAAUUUUAAUUAUAAAUUAUACUAAUUAAGGAUCGGACGGUAUUAUUUUUUAACCCGUUCGGCACUUUAUAAUAAAUUAAAAUAUUUAGGCUCUUAAGGGAAUAUAAUUACAAAGUUGAAAUUUAAAGAAAUUAAUAGAAGGGCACUACUAGGGGUGGAGCCUACGGUUUAAUUUAAUUUAAUACGGGGAAAUUUACUAGGUUUAAAUACAAUAAAAAUUAAUAGAUUGAAAACUCUUUCUUAAUUUUAUAGGUAGUAGUAUAUAGCCGUUCUUAAUUAAUAGAGUAAUUUAUCUAUUUAAUUACAAUAACGAACGAGACUUUAAUUUACUAAAUAGCCUAUAUUAUUUUAGUAAUAUACUAGCUUCUUAAAAGGACUAUCGGCUUAAACUAAUAGAAAUUUAAAGUAAUAACAAGUUUAUAAUACCCUUAGAUAUUCUAAGCCGUACGCGUACUAUACUAAUACAGUUAGCGAGUACUCUUUUAGCCGGAAGGUCCGGGUAAUUUUAUUAAACUAUAUUAUAUUAAGGAUAGAGUAUUACAAUUAUUAUUCUUCAACGAAGAAUCCCUAGUAAAUAUAAAUCAUUAACUUACGUUAAUUACAUCCUUACCCUUUAUAUACACCGCCUAUCGCUACUACUAAUUAAAUAAUUUAAUAAAAUUUCUAAAUUAAUUUAAAGAGGUCGGUAACGAUUACCUAAGGCUAGAAAGCUAUCCAAACUCAGUUAUUUAAAGGAAGUAAAAGUUGUAAUAAAGUCUCUAUUAGUAAAUUAGUAGAGGGAUUAUUA
rfam:Neurospora crassa OR74A unplaced genomic scaffold supercont12.9, whole genome shotgun sequence.